rnacentral:rRNA from 1 species
GGGUGGUAAUGCCGGAUGUUCCACAUGAUCGCAUGUGAUUGUGGGAAAGAUUCUAUCGGCGUGGGAUGGGGUCGCGUCCUAUCAGCUUGUUGGUGAGGUAACGGCUCACCAAGGCUUCGACGGGUAGCCGGCCUGAGAGGGCGACCGGCCACAUUGGGACUGAGAUACGGCCCAGACUCCUACGGGAGGCAGCAGUGGGGAAUAUUGCACAAUGGGCGCAAGCCUGAUGCAGCGACGCCGCGUGAGGGAUGGAGGCCUUCGGGUUGUAAACCUCUUUUGUUUGGGAGCAAGCCUUCGGGUGAGUGUACCUUUCGAAUAAGCGCCGGCUAACUACGUGCCAGCAGCCGCGGUAAU